rnacentral:lncRNA from 1 species
UUUUGAUCAGUCAGUCCUCCAGGGCGAACUUUUGCUCCUGUUUGGUUCCCCCACCAGUGGUGGCCCAUAGCCCUGUCACUUUCCCCACCCCACCCCCGACCUAAGUUUAGCUCAGGCUAGCCCAGGGGCCAGUGCAUAACACACACACACACACACACACACACACACCCCUCAGUGUCCCUGUGCUGCUGGGUCACACGUUUUCAGCUGCAUCCUGUAGGGUCGCAUCCUUGGCGUGGCGUCUGAGGCCCGGUGGAAUCUAGACCAGGAAUCCUCGUCAGCCACUCAAGGCAGAGACUCUGGUUCAAACGACGCCCGUAUUCAGCAGUUCGUCCAGCUCUUCUGUGGGCAGCACACAGUUCUAAAGGCUUCGGGGACACAGACCGGAGGCUCUAGGCUUUCUGUGUCCUUUCCGUCCUGCCUCUGUGGACCUUUUCCCUCCAAGAACGCCCGGCCCAUCUCACCUACUGACUCGCCGCCCCGCUCAGAUGCUCCCUCCCCAGAACCUCUCAUCCCUGCUCAGCUGUCUGCCACAGCUCAGCUGUCUGUCACAGCGUAUUGUCGGCCUCUCAUUGUCCCACCCAGGUGGGAAGCCUCACCCCCAGGAAGCUUUCUGAGCCUUGUUUUACCCACUGCUUACGCCCAUGCCCGGCCAGCCCCGGAGAGAAGCGAGCCACCCGUUGAUUUCACAUCUCCCACAAAGAGGCAAAGUUGCCGGGUUUGGAGAAGGAAGGUGUCUUGCUCAAGGUCACCCAGCUGGGAAGAGACAGAAUUGGGAUUUGAACCAGGUCCUUUCUCCGCCGCGCUUAGCACGCUGCUUUGUCGGUACUUAGUAACCGCCCGUUUGAUAGAUGUCCGACUCGUGCGUGGAGUGACCCAGAUUUCAGCCAGGGCCUCCUGUGAGCGCCCUGGGGGCUGGAAGAGGCACGGUGGGCAGCAGCGCACCUGGAGAAGCUGGGCCCGGCGCCCCUGCCCCUACGCCAGGUUCAGCGCAGCGUUUGGGUACGGCUGGACCCACGGAGCCCACUUAUUCUAGGCACAAAGCCGGAGGGCGAGACCGUGGGCGAACAAAAUCAAGGCCGCCCACAGAACCUGUCCUCUGCCCUUGUGAUAGCCUGAGGGUCUGUAGCCUGGCUGAGGGGCCCCCCCACAGCCCACCCCACCUCUGGCUCUCCAGCCUCACCUCUCCCGGCUCCCAGCCACACAGACUGUCUCACCUGCGUGCACACACGUGGACACACAGACACACACAUAUACAGACACACUAUGGUGUCCGCAAACUCAGGCCUUUGUUCUGGCUGCCUGGAAUGUUACCCUUUGCCCUGCUCCCUUUAUUGGCCUGCUCAUUCUUUUGGAUUCCAUUUCACCUCCUCCAGGAAGUCUUCCCUGAGUGCACAGGCUGAGCUCAGACCCUUCUCCCGUCUGAUGGGCUUAAUCUCAAGCAGAGGAAAUGAGACCAACCCCAGGAUAUCAGCAGGAUGCUUUGGGUUGCAAAUACCAAAAACCCUUCACUUUGCUGGCUAAGUUUGAUAGGUUUGUGUGAAAAGAGGCUGUGAGUCAGGUGCUCAAAGUGUGGUAACCUAAAGGCUUGCUGAUGUCCUUAAGGACCCAGGGCUUCCUGUCUGUGUUUGGCCAUCCUUGGCAUGGCAGUGCGGCUCCCUCUGGAAUGGCCCUGGACCGCUGUAAGCUUUAUUGGCCGUGGGUCGGAAACCCAGUGUUGGGAAAGGCUCCUUGCCUUCAGAGUGUCUCAGAAACCUCUCCAGGAGCACACCCCACUCCUGCACAGACUUCGUCUCAUUGAGCAGCACCGGGUCACAUGGACAGGCCUGCACCAAUCCCUGGCUCAGGGAAUGAGACCAUCACAGACCAAUCAGGACCCACUGCUGCAGGGGGUGAGGAGGGGGAGCUGCUGCCUGGGGGCUCGCGGGGGGAGGCGGGGCAGGGGCAGGCAGAAGCUCCUGCUACUCUUGUGGGACUCAGAGUCACUCCCUGCAGCCGUCCAAGGCGAAACUGGAGCACGCUGGCCACCGAUAGUGAGUGUAGAGUAACAGCGAGGCCAAUGCCACGCUGGAGCUGGGAUGUUCCCAUUUUACAGAUAAGGACAGCGAGGAACUUGAGUGCCCCGGGGCACACCGAAGUGGCAGAGCUGGGAUUUGAACCCAGGAAUUAAGGCGGUAAGACCUGUCCUGGUGGGCACCUAGGCACCACAGAUGGUUAAGCGUCUGCCUUCCGUUCAGGUCAUGAUCUCAGGGUUCUGGGAUGGAGCCCCGCAUCUGCCUCCUUGCUGAGCGGGGAGCCUGCUUCCCCGUCUGCCUCUCCCUCCACUUGUGCUUGCUCUGUCUCUUUCUUUCCCACAUGAAUAAAGAUCAUCUUAAAACAAACA